GAUGAACGCUGGCGGCGUGCCUAAUACAUGCCAGUCGAGCGAACGGACGAGAAGCUUGCUUCUCUGAUGUUAGCGGCGGACGGGUGAGUAACACGUGGAUAACCUACCUAUAAGACUGGGAUAACUUCGGGAAACCGGAGCUAAUACCGGAUAAUAUUUUGAACCGCAUGGUUCAAAAGUGAAAGACGGUCUUGCUGUCACUUAUAGAUGGAUCCGCGCUGCAUUAGCUAGUUGGUAAGGUAACGGCUUACCAAGGCAACGAUGCAUAGCCGACCUGAGAGGGUGAUCGGCCACACUGGAACUGAGACACGGUCCAGACUCCUACGGGAGGCAGCAGUAGGGAAUCUUCCGCAAUGGGCGAAAGCCUGACGGAGCAACGCCGCGUGAGUGAUGAAGGUCUUCGGAUCGUAAAACUCUGUUAUUAGGGAAGAACAUAUGUGUAAGUAACUGUGCACAUAUUGACGGUACCUAAUCAGAAAGCCACGGCUAACUACGUG
rnacentral:rRNA from 1 species